rnacentral:rRNA from 1 species
AGUUGGGAAUCUUUCACAAUGGGCGCAAGCCUGAUGGAGCAACACCGCGUGAGUGAAGAAGGGUUUCGGCUCGUAAAACUCUGUUGUUGGAGAAGAACGUGCGUAAGAGUAACUGUUUACGCAGUGACGGUAUCCAACCAGAAAGUCACGGCUAACUACGUGCCAGCAGCCGCGGUAAUACGUAGGUGGCAAGCGUUAUCCGGAUUUAUUGGGCGUAAAGCGAGCGCAGGCGGUUGCUUAGGUCUGAUGUGAAAGCCUUCGGCUUAACCGAAGAAGUGCAUCGGAAACCGGGCGACUUGAGUGCAGAAGAGGACAGUGGAACUCCAUGUGUAGCGGUGGAAUGCGUAGAUAUAUGGAAGAACACCAGUGGCGAAGGCGGCUGUCUGGUCUGCAACUGACGCUGAGGCUCGAAAGCAUGGGUAGCGAACAGGAUUAGAUACCCUGGUAGUCCAUGCCGUAAACGAUGAGUGCUAGGUGUUGGAGGGUUUCCGCCCUUCAGUGCCGAAGCUAACGCAUUAAGCACUCCGCCUGGAGACACGA